GUUGUAUCAGGUCUGACGGUGGGUUGUAGCAGGUCUGACGGUGGGUUGUAUCAGGUCUGACGGUGGGUUGUAUCAGGUCUGAUGGUGGGUUGUAUCAGGUCUGACGGUGGGUUGUAUCAGGG